AGAGUUUGAUCCUGGCUUAGGAUGAACGCUGGCGGCGUGCUUAACACAUGCAAGUCGAACGGAGUUUACAUGAAACCUAGUGAUUGUAAACUUAGUGGCGGACGGGUGAGUAACGCGUGGGUAACCUGCCUUAUACAGGGGGAUAACACUUAGAAAUAGGUGCUAAUACCGCAUAAGCGCACAGUGCUGCAUGGCACAGUGUGAAAAACUCCGGUGGUAUAAGAUGGACCCGCGUCUGAUUAGCUAGUUGGUGAGGUAACGGCCCACCAAGGCGACGAUCAGUAGCCGGCCUGAGAGGGUGAACGGCCACAUUGGGACUGAGACACGGCCCAAACUCCUACGGGAGGCAGCAGUGGGGAAUAUUGGACAAUGGGGGAAACCCUGAUCCAGCGAACCGCCGCGUGAGUGAAGAAGUAUUUCGGUAUGUAAAGCUCUAUCAGCAGGGAAGAUAAUGACGGUACCUGACUAAGAAGCCCCGGCUAACUACGUGCCAGCAGCUGC
rnacentral:rRNA from 1 species